UACGUAGGGAGCAAGCGUUGUCCGGAAUCAUUGGGCGUAAAGCGCGCGUAGGUGGCCACAUAAGUCCGUUGUGAAAGUCAAAGGCUCAACCUUUGAAAGCCGAUGGAUACUGUGUGGCUAGAGUACGGAAGAGGCGAGUGGAAUUCCUGGUGUAGCGGUGGAAUGCGCAGAUAUCAGGAGGAACACCAAUAGCGAAGGCAGCUCGCUGGGACGUUACUGACACUGAGGCGCGAAAGCGUGGGGAGCGAUCCGG
rnacentral:rRNA from 1 species